AUAAACUAGUACAUUUCCUGUCACAGUCACUGCUGCUGCUGCUUCUGUGCGACCGACUGAGAGGAAAAAGGAAAGUAAUUGUGUGUGAGAAGCCAAAGCAGCGCGGCACUUGCUCGUUGUGAGGAAGCUGGCACGACUUGCCCCUUGUCUGGCCUCAGAAUCGGAGUGCAGAACCACCGUCCUGUCUGUGAGCUGUUGGCAGGGCAUGAAGGGUGAGAGCUCAGAUAAGAAGUAAGAUUAUCCAUCGGACUGUGACCUGCGCUGUCCUUUUCUUGCAGUCUGAUUGAUGACUUGGGUUUAAUUCAGAGGUUUUUAAUUGGGGCAUGAGCCACAUCUCUACUUUGUUUUCCCAUCUCUGUGUGACCCACUCUGAAGAGGGCAAGGCUGAACUUGAAGGCAGUAAAGGCGACCCUCUGUCUGCAAAUAACAAUUUAAGUCGAUUCGGAUUUUGUUGCAGUGAUUUGGUCCCGCCUUCUUCUACACCCAGGGGGGCUCCACAUCGAAUGCCACGUUUUCACAGGUUUUUUUUGGGAACAAAGAAGAAAAACAAAUCUGCAAGGACUGUACAAUAUAGGAAAAAAAACUACAACAAUGUCAUCUGCUUUCCAGAUUAUUCUCCAUAAACCUCCCUCCCAUUUCCCCUGCCUGUAACUAAAUAAUCCGCUAGAAACGCACAAUCGUCUGUACAAAGUGUAAAAAGCUGGAAUUCAGUGAGUAAUUGUGACUUUGGCAUCAAUUUGUCUACUCCGCUUUGUACAACACUUCCAGCUCCCCCUUGGAUUACAUAUGGGCGCAAAGAAUCCGAAUUGUUGGGAAAGUUUAUUUUCAUUGCGUUCCCCUAUUACAUCACGGUUUUAUCACAAGCCCUGGAUAAAUAAAUGAUUCUUAAUGACCUUGUUAUGCUCGAAUUUACAGUAUUUAUAUCGCAACAUGCCACGAGAGUUUGAAAAUUCGUUGAUGGAUGCAUUUAAAAUUGCUGUCCCAAUUUAAAUUAAGAUUUUUUACACAUGUCAGAAGGAAAGAUCUGUUUUGCAGCUUGAUUUCUGCUGUCUUUAAAUAUUUAUGAGGGGUUAAUCCUACCCAGUGUAUUCGUUGGGAGCAUUAUAAAUAGCCAUAUCUGCUCAGAAAUCUUUUACAGGACAGAGAGAAAAAAAAAAAAAAGAAUUUAUCAAAGAGCGUUUUUUUUUUUUUGUUGGAGGAAAUCAAAGCAUUUCCUGCGCGUUUUCCUUAUGCAAAGUCGGUGUCAGGGAGACAUUCCCAGGUCUGUCCGGAUUGUCUGGCACUAAAUGAAGUCAGUUCACAGCAGGGUGUCUGACCAUAACACCUUAUUGCGGCCAUAAACGAGCUUUUGUCAUUUUACAGCACAACAAAUAUCCCAAACAGGCCUGCGACCAAUUUAAAGCAAACAUCCCCAUUUUCCUCUUUUCACUUAAUUACGCCCUUUUCAAUUAAUUAAACCACACAGGCACAAACAUUUCUGUUUUGCAAAAUCCCAGCUGUGUCCUAACUAUUUUAUCCCCAUGAAAUAACCGGAUUUAAAUACAAAAUAUUCCAACCGUAAAAUAAUAUUUGCAUGCGUUUUUUCCCCCUCAAAACUGUGUUUUCAUGAUAAGAUAUACACCCGCUUUUAAAUGACAUGCGCUUUCCUAAACAAUUAAAAUAAUACUCAUUUAGAGAAAUUCAAGCAAUAGGCAGAUUAUGGUAAGAGCCUUUACAAAAUAAACAGGAACAAACCUAAACAAAAACACAUUUUUGCGCAAUAUACAUUUCAGCAGAUGUUAAUUACGCACCAAAAUAUAUAUUUCGCACAGUAAAUAAAAAAUGUUUAAAAACCAGACAUAUAAUCAGAGUAAUUUUGUUACAGAGAAUAACUAGGCCUGAUCUUUUCUAAACAGUUUCUGCCCAGUGUAUUCAUAUUCCGCACACAUCGUAAAUGGCACUUUUGCAAAUUGCCACUUUCUGACAGCAGGUGGCAGCAGACAACAUAUUUUCAGCAAAAAGCCUUUAUAUUCCAUUCCCUUUUGGAAUGAAAAGGCCACAACUUCUGCAAAUAAUUCUUUGUACACAGGCUUGGCUUAUUUUAGCAAACGGAAGAGAGAAAUUCUAAAUGUACAUAAUUAUUUCUACAGGACAUAGCUGGUGCCAAAUAUUGCCAAUGUUUUCCAGUGUAUGGAAAUAUUCCCUACAAAGAGGAUAUUUGGCUUGUAUUUGUUCAAUUACGCAUUGUGCAUUCAGAAAAGCAAAUAUAUAUAUAACAUUUUAAUAUAUAAUAAUGUAACAAACAGCAAAUAAUAUGCGAAAUAUUGUCUUAUAUUAAACUAGCUGCAGGUAAAAUAUCACCGCUCAUUUCAACUGAAAAACACAUUAUUAUUCCGCAUCAAAACUCACUUGUUAGUGUAAAUAUUUAUUUCGUAUGUGUAAAUCUCUGUGUGUGUGUCCUAUGCAAUAAUCAUGCAUUUUCAUUUUUAUGUAUUUAUAUAUGUGCACAAUAUAUGUUUAUGUUGAACACACAGUAUAUACAUUUUGCGGGGUUAGA